AUUGAACGCUGGCGGCAGGCUUAACACAUGCAAGUCGAGCGGGGUGAUGGUGCUUGCACUAUCACUUAGCGGCGGACGGGUGAGUAAUGCUUAGGAAUCUGCCUAUUAGUGGGGGACAACAUCUCGAAAGGGAUGCUAAUACCGCAUACGUCCUACGGGAGAAAGCAGGGGAUCACUUGUGACCUUGCGCUAAUAGAUGAGCCUAAGUCGGAUUAGCUAGUUGGUGGGGUAAAGGCCUACCAAGGCGACGAGCUGUAGCGGGUCUGAGAGGAUGAUCCGCCACACUGGGACUGAGACACGGCCCAGACUCCUACGGGAGGCAGCAGUGGGGAAUAUUGGACAAUGGGGGGAACCCUGAUCCAGCCAUGCCGCGUGUGUGAAGAAGGCCCUAUGGUUGUAAAGCACUUUAAGCGAGGAGGAGGCUCUUUUGGUUAAUACCCAAGAUGAGUGGACGUUACUCGCAGAAUAAGCACCGGCUAACUCUGUGCCAGCAGCCGCCGUAA
rnacentral:rRNA from 1 species